CUUGGUCAUUUAGAGGAAGUAAAAGUCGUAACAAGGUUUCCGUAGGUGAACCUGCGGAAGGAUCAUUAUCGAUUUUUAAAGAUGUGCUGGCACUCCUUCACCGGUUUGCAUGUGCACUCUGCAAAAUCUCCUUCUCUUACCCCACUGUGCACACCCAAGUAGACAUACAGAGUUACAGAGCAAUCUGUGUAAUUCCUGAUUUGCCUAUGUUUUUAUCAAACACCAAUAACAAUCUCAGAAUGAUCUAUAUAGUAAGCUUUUAACAAGCUGAAAUUUAAUACAACUUUCAACAAUGGAUCUCUUGGUUCUCGCAUCGAUGAAGAACGCAGCGAAUUGCGAUAUGUAAUGUGAAUUGCAGAAUUCAGUGAAUCAUCGAAUCUUUGAACGCACCUUGCACCCUCUGGCAUUCCGGAGGGUAUGCCUGUUUGAGUGUCAUUAAUCUCUCAACACAAGAAACUUUGUCUCCUUGUGCUUGGAUAUUGAAGGUUUUGCUGGCGCAAACAACUGUCAGCUCCUUUUAAAUGUAUUAGCAGAGCAGUAUAGGACUGGCCUCGGUUUGAUAAGAAACUUUAUCUAUGCUGUCGCUGGGUUUUCCUCUUUGUGCUCAGCUUCAAAUUGUCUUCGGACUGUCUCUUGAGGCAACAAAAUCUCUAUUGAUCGACCCCAAAUCAGGUAGGACUACCCGCUGAACUUAAGCAUAUCAAUAAGCGGAGGA
rnacentral:rRNA from 1 species